CAGCAGCCGCGGGAAUACGUAGGGUGCAAGCGUUAAUCGGAAUUACUGGGCGUAAAGCGUGCGCAGGCGGUUUGUUAAGACAGAUGUGAAAUCCCCGGGCUCAACCUGGGAACUGCAUUUGUGACUGCAUGGCUAGAGUACGGUAGAGGGGGAUGGAAUUCCGCGUGUAGCAGUGAAAUGCGUAGAUAUGCGGAGGAACACCGAUGGCGAAGGCAAUCCCCUGGACCUGUACUGACGCUCAUGCACGAAAGCGUGGGGAGCAAACAGGAUUAGAUACCCCCGUAGUCCCUGUCUCUUAUAC
rnacentral:rRNA from 1 species